CCUACGGGAGGCAGCAGUAGGGAAUAUUGGUCAAUGGACGCAAGUCUGACCCAGCCAUGCCGCGUGAAGGAAGACGGCCCUAUGGGUUGUAAACUUCUUUUCUCAGGGGGUAAACUCUGGAACGUGUUCCGGACUGAAAGUACCUGAGGAAUAAGCAUCGGCUAACUCCGUGCCAGCAGCCGCGGUAAUACGGAGGAUGCGAGCGUUAUCCGGAUCCAUUGGGUUUAAAGGGUGCGCAGGCGGAUAUAUAAGUCGGAGGUGAAAUUCUGAUGCUCAACAUCAGCCGUGCCUUCGAUACUGUAUAUCUAGAGUCAAGUUGGAGUAGGCGGAAUGUGUUGUGUAGCGGUGAAAUGCUUAGAUAUAACACAGAACACCGAUCGCGAAGGCAGCUUACUAAACUUUGACUGACGCUCAUGCACGAAAGCGUGGGGAUCAAACAGGAUUAGAUACCCUGGUAGUCCACGCUGUAAACGAUGAUUACUCGCUGUUGGCGAUACACAGUCAGUGGCUAAGCGAAAGUGAUAAGUAAUCCACCUGGGGAGUACGACGGCAACGUUGAAACUCAAAGGAAUUGACGG
rnacentral:rRNA from 1 species